UGGGGAAUAUUGGGCAAUGGGCGCAAGCCUGACCCAGCCAUGCCGCGUGAGUGAUGAAGGCCUUCGGGUCGUAAAGCUCUGUGGGAAGGGACGAAAAAAACGGGUCUAAUACACCCGGGCUUGACGGUACCUUCUUAGCAAGCACCGGCUAACUCCGUGCCAGCAGCCGCGGUAAUACGGAGGGUGCAAACGUUGCUCGGAAUCAUUGGGCGUAAAGCGCACGUAGGCGGUCGGCUAUGUCGGAUGUGAAAGCCUCGGGCUUAACCCGAGAAGGGCAUCCGAAACUGGCCGGCUUGAGUACGGAAGAGGGUCUCGGAAUUCCCGGUGUAGAGGUGAAAUUCGUAGAUAUCGGGAGGAACACCAGUGGCGAAGGCGGAGACCUGGGCCGAUACUGACGCUGAGGUGCGAAAGCGUGGGGAGCAAACAGG
rnacentral:rRNA from 1 species